CCAACCGGGUGUCCACACUAAGUUCGGCAUCAUUAUGGUGACUUCCUGGGAGCAGGGGACUACCAGGUUGCCUAAGGAUGGGUGAACUGGCCCAGGUCAGAAAUGAGGCAGGUUAGAACUCCCAUGCUGAUCGGUAGUGGGACUGCACCUGGG
rnacentral:SRP_RNA from 1 species